UAUCUCUGUAGAGUCUGCAUAUCAAUAAGCGGAGGAAAAGAAACUAACUAGGAUUCCCUCAGUAACGGCGAGUGAAGCGGGAAGAGCUCAAAUUUGAAAUCUUCAAGGUUUUACCUUGACGAAUUGUAGUUUAAAGAAGUGUUUUCUGUUGGAGUUUUGGUAAAAGUUCUUUGGAACUAGGACAUCAUAGAGGGUGAGAAUCCCGUAUUUGACCAUUACUUUCCAGCGUUGUGAUACACUUUCAAAGAGUCGGAUUGUUUGGGAAUGCAGUCCAAAAUGGGUGGUAAAUUUCAUCUAAAGCUAAAUAUUGGCGAGAGACCGAUAGCGAACAAGUACCGUGAGGGAAAGAUGAAAAGAACUUUGAAAAGAGAGUUAAACAGUACGUGAAAUUGUCAAAAGGGAAGCGUUUGACACCAGUGUUGUUUUCUCGAAAAUCAAUUAAAAAGUGUUGGAUUUUGUAGUUGUAUAGACCUUAUCAGCUUACUGUACUCUUUUCCUCAUCUUUUUAAUGCACUUUUCGUUUAACAAGUCAACAUCAAUUUCUUUUGUUGUAAAAGAGUCAUUGGAAGGUGGCUUUCUUUUCGGAGAAAGUGUUUAUAGCCUUUGGCUUCUGCAAUCGGAGAGAUUGAGGUCUGCAGCGUAGAUCCUUCGGGGUUAGAUACAUUUGUGCUAAGUUAUAGCCUUUCAUAGACAACUUGUUGACUAUGAUCAGUCAUGUAGCUUACUCGCUUAUGCUAUUUUACCUACGCUUAGGAUGUUGAGUCAUCACACAUCUCU
rnacentral:rRNA from 1 species